rnacentral:rRNA from 1 species
UACGGGGGGGGCAAGCGUUGUUCGGAAUUACUGGGCGUAAAGGGCUCGUAGGCGGCCAUCUAAGUCAGACGUGAAAUCCCCCGGCUUAACCUGGGAACUGCGUCUGAUACUGGAAGGCUUGAGUAUGGGAGAGGGAUGUAGAAUUCCAGGUGUAGCGGUGAAAUGCGUAGAUAUCUGGAGGAAUACCGGUGGCGAAGGCGGCAUCCUGGACCAUUACUGACGCUGAGGCGCGAAAGCUAGGGGAGCAAACGGG